UUACUUUCGUUUUUCAAUAGUAUUGACAUCAUCAUCCUAAGUUUUAAUACAAAGUGUUUUUGGUAAGGGGCUGGCAAAGAGACAGUGAAGUCCCUUAUUAAGCUUCCUCGGUUUCUAGUGCACAUGUGUUUGUAAUGAGUGGCAGGCCUCUUGCGAGCGCCCUAACUCUUAAAUGAUCCAUCUGCAGGUUCACCUACAGAUA
rnacentral:misc_RNA from 1 species